rnacentral:lncRNA from 1 species
GAAGUGUGCCACCUUACGACGUGUCCGAACCUUGAUUAGUUUCACCAUCAUAAAAAUCAAUUCUACUUGAUAGAUAAACUCGACUUGCUUAUCCGUCUGGUUCAAAGUUUACUUUGCUUGUCAUCUAAAUGCUUCUUUAGGAAAUCCAGAACUUGCAUAACCAUUGUACCAUUAUUUUCAUUUUGCAUGGAAUCCAUCCAUAUCGAACUAGGACAAGUUGAUAGGAACAACUGUUUAAGGCACAUCCUGAUCCACGGUAAUACUACUACUAAUACAUCUCGAUCACGAAUGCACGUUCUCCAUUUUUGUAAACCAAAAUCUCAGCUUCUAAUAAAACUAAUGACUCUUGGUAUGGCCUCCUUCCCUAGGAGCUCGGAUCUUAGUCGUCAUCUGGCUAUCAGCAAAGUCAUGAACGAUGGCACUCAGCUAGGCUCAGCACUUGCCUAGCAGCUCGUCGGCUCCCCAUUGUCGGUCAUCAGGUGUGACCACUACUCACAGCAUGGGGUGCGUUGAGUUUCGAUCACGCCACAACAUUCCGGAUGGGAGUUCUUUCAGUGCAAAAGGAUGGGGUGAGUGCUUGCUUG